rnacentral:rRNA from 1 species
AGUGAACGCUGGCGGUAGGCCUAACACAUGCAAGUCGAACGGCAGCACAGUAAGAGCUUGCUCUUACGGGUGGCGAGUGGCGGACGGGUGAGGAAUACAUCGGCAUCUACUUUUUCGUGGGGGAUAACGUAGGGAAACUUACGCUAAUACCGCAUACGACCUACGGGUGAAAGCAGGGGAUCUUCGGACCUUGCGCGAUUGAAUGAGCCGAUGUCGGAUUAGCUAGUUGGCGGGGUAAAGGCCCACCAAGGCGACGAUCCGUAGCUGGUCUGAGAGGAUGAUCAGCCACACUGGAACUGAGACACGGUCCAGACUCCUACGGGAGGCAGCAGUGGGGAAUAUUGGACAAUGGGCGCAAGCCUGAUCCAGCAAUACCGCGUGGGUGAAGAAGGCCUUCGGGUUGUAAAGCCCUUUUGUUGGGAAAGAAAAGCAGCAGGUUAAUACCCCGCUGUUCUGACGGUACCCAAAGAAUAAGCACCGGCUAACUUCGUG